rnacentral:lncRNA from 1 species
CUUAGAAAUCGCGGUCUGAAUUUUGUCUCAGGAAAUGACAAGCCUACUACUCACCUACCAUGAACAAAAAUAAGAAACACCUGUUAUCUUGUUGUUCUUACUUAAUUUGCUUCCUCUGGUCCACUUUGUUUCCUUGCCUUCAUUCUGAAGACCUGAGAUGAACAGCAGUGAGGUCCUUGUUGUUGUUGUUGUUGUUGUUGUUGUUGUUGUUGUUGUUGUUGUUUGUAACAUUUAUGAUUAAAGUAACAGGUUAAUUUUCAGAUUAAGUUUCCUGAUCUAACUGGCUGUGUGGUUUCAUGGCUGCUCACUCUCAGAGAUACAGUAAGAUCACACACCUGAACAAUCACAAGGCUGCCCUUUUCAGACACAGUAUGUAUGCACACUGGCUAACAUUUUCGGGAAGCCUAAGUUUCAACAGUGCUUCUCCAAAGAAUGGAAACAAUAAUUUGCAGAAAUCCUUUAGUCUGACUUUUUCUCGUGAUGUGGUUUGAGCUAGUGGAAAAUCCAAGUCCAGAUUAUGCUCUGGCAACCGUCUCUGUAUCUGCGCCUGAGUGAUGGCCUUCCGGGGAGGAGCAAGCUUGGCACCUCAUCCCUGUACUCAGCAUAAACUCAUUAACUGCUAUGGCUCAGGUGAGGUCUUCUGCAAUCCUGAAGUGAAAUGGUAGAUAAUGAGGAUAUAUAAGUUUGUGAAAGCCGGAGGAGCUAAAUAACUUUUCUGGGAUAGUGACAGACUUCACUUAACACCCUGGAGACAUAGGAAAGUAAGUUAGUUAAACAGAGUCUCAAGAAUGUCUCACAUAGUUUUCUCUGCUGUUCAGGAGCCCAAUUCCCGAUAACAGGACAAUACAUACUAAGUACUUGAGUCAGCUGGCUGCCAAAGUACAAAUCUGGUAUUUGUUCCCAUUGCACAAAGUAGCACUGAUGUCAUAAAAGAUAUGAAAAGCUUUACAUUGUCCUUCUUAUUUUUAAACCACUUUAUACUUUUGUAUUUUGAUUAUUUUUAGUAUAUAUCCUAACAGUAAUGGGUGACAUGCAUCAUUAAGUGUGGAUGAAAAAUAGCGGAUGCAAAUGUGAAUGAAAA